UCUUCUUUGAAUGUCUUUUGAAACCAAUACAUUAAGCUUUGUUGAACUUUACUGUACUCAUUUAUUAAUUCAAAUGGAUAUUUUAAAUGUCGUGUUUUAAUAUGUUUCAGAGUGAUAGAGCUUUGCAACGUUGGGACAUGGCGACCAGAAAUUGACGAGUGUCGGGUACGGAAUGGAGGCUGCACCGACUUGUGUGUCAACACAGAUGGGUCCCACACGUGCAGAUAGACUUACGCUGUCAUUAAUUCGGUUAAUACAGGGGCCGAAAACCCAAGUGCUUAUCCAACAGGGGCUUCCUACGAGUUUGUUACCUUGCUGUAUUUCUAUUGAAUAAAAG